rnacentral:rRNA from 1 species
AUUGAGCACGUAGGUGGGUUUGUAAGUCAGAUGUGAAAGCCUUCUGUUCAACAGAAGAAUUGCAUCUGAAACUGCGAGUCUUGAGUGUGGGAGGGGAGAAUGGAACUUCUGGUGGAGCGGUGAAAUGCGUAGAUAUCUGAAGGAACGCCGGCGGCGAAAGCGAUUCUCUGGCCUAUUACUGACACUCAGUGUGCGAAAGCUAGGGGAGCAAACGGGAUUAGAUACCCCGGUAGUCCUAGCCGUAAACGAUGGGCACUAAGUAGAGGGG